ACACCGUUGGUGAAAUGGUUAUCGUGCUCGCCUUUCCAUCCCACAGCGAUUUUAGAUGAUUGAGCAAGUGGCUCGGGUUCAAUUCCCAAAUGGUGUA